AGAGAAUUGAAGAGAGUGCAU
rnacentral:miRNA from 1 species